GACGAACGCUGGCGGCGUGCUUAACACAUGCAAGUCGAACGGAAAGGCCCUGCUUGCAGGGUGCUCGAGUGGCGAACGGGUGAGUAACACGUGGGUGAUCUGCCCCUUACUUUGGGAUAAGCCUGGGAAACUGGGUCUAAUACUGGAUAGGACCAUGCUGUAGGUGGUGUGGUGGAAAGAUUAGUUUCGGUAAGGGAUGAGCUCGCGGCCUAUCAGCUUGUUGGUGGGGUAAUGGCCUACCAAGGCGUCGACGGGUAGCCGGCCUGAGAGGGUGGACGGCCACAUUGGGACUGAGAUGCGGCCCAGACUCCUACGGGAGGCAGCAGUGGGGAAUAGUGCACAAUGGGCGCAAGCCUGAUGCAGCGACGCCGCGUGGGGGAUGACGGCCUUCGGGUUGUAAACUCCUUUCAGCCAUGACGAAGCCCUUGUGGUGACGGUAGUGGUAGAAGAAGCACCGGCUAACUACGUG
rnacentral:rRNA from 1 species